GAGGAUAUAGCUCAAGUGGUAGAGCGUGUGCUUAGCAUGCACAAGAUCCUGGGUUCAAUCCCCAGUACCUCCA
rnacentral:tRNA from 1 species